UUUUGGACAAUGGGCGCAAGCCUGAUCCAGCAAUGCCGCGUGAGUGAAGAAGGCCUUCGGGUUGUAAAGCUCUUUUGCCCCGGCCCCCCACGGUGGACUCUAAUACAGAUCACUAAUGACGGUACCUGAAGAAUAAGCACCGGCUAACUACGUGCCAGCAGCCGCGGUAAUACGUAGGGUGCAAGCGUUAAUCGGAAUUACUGGACGUAAAGCGUGCGCAGGCGGUUUGGUAAGACAGAUGUGAAAUCCCCGGGCUCAACCUGGGAAUUGCAUUUGUGACUGCCCGACUAGAGUGUGUCAGAGGGGGGUAGAAUUCCACGUGUAGCAGUGAAAUGCGUAGAGAUGGGAGGAAUACCGAUGGCGAAGGCAGCCCCCGGGAAACACUACGCUCAGCACGAAA
rnacentral:rRNA from 1 species